rnacentral:rRNA from 1 species
CUAUGUGUUGUUGGGUAGGGGAGCGUUCUGUAAGCCUGUGAAGGUGUACUGUGAGGUAUGCUGGAGGUAUCAGAAGUGCGAAUGCUGACAUAAGUAACGAUAAAGCGGGUGAAAAGCCCGCUCGCCGGAAGACCAAGGGUUCCUGUCCAACGUUAAUCGGGGCAGGGUGAGUCGACCCCUAAGGCGAGGCCGAAAGGCGUAGUCGAUGGGAAACAGGUUAAUAUUCCUGUACUUGGUGUUACUGCGAAGGGGGGACGGAGAAGGCUAUGUUGGCCGGGCGACGGUUGUCCCGGUUUAAGCGUGUAGGCUGGUUUUCCAGGCAAAUCCGGAAAAUCAAGGCUGAGGCGUGAUGACGAGGCACUACGGUGCUGAAGCAACAAAUGCCCUGCUUCCAGGAAAAGCCUCUAAGCAUCAGGUAACAUCAAAUCGUACCCCAAACCGACACAGGUGGUCAGGUAGAGAAUACCAAGGCGCUUGAGAGAACUCGGGUGAAGGAACUAGGCAAAAUGGUGCCGUAACUUCGGGAGAAGGCACGCUGAUAUGUAGGUGAAGUCCCUCGCGGAUGGAGCUGAAAUCAGUCGAAGAUACCAGCUGGCUGCAACUGUUUAUUAAAAACACAGCACUGUGCAAACACGAAAGUGGACGUAUACGGUGUGACGCCUGCCCGGUGCCGGAAGGU